AACAUCUUUAAUAGGAUGUUACGAUUGUGUGAAUACAUAGCACAUUCGAGGUAGACGCAGAGAACUGAAACAUCUAAGUACCUGCAGGAAGAGAAAGAAAAUUCGAUUCCCUGAGUAGCGGCGAGCGAAACGGGAAAAGCCCAAACCAGCAAGCUUGCUUGUUGGGGUUGUAGGACUCCAAUAUGGUAGUUCUUUCAGAUAGUCGAAUGACUUGGAAAAGUCAGUCAAAGAGGGUAAAAACCCCGUAGACGAAAUGUGGAAGACACCUAGGAGGAUCCUGAGUACGGCGGAACACGAGAAAUUCCGUCGGAAUCCGGGAGGACCAUCUCCCAAGGCUAAAUACUCCCUAGUGACCGAUAGUGAACCAGUACCGUGAGGGAAAGGUGAAAAGCACCCCGGAAGGGGAGUGAAAUAGAACCUGAAACCGUGUGCCUACAACAAGUCAAAGCCCGUUAAUGGGUGAUGGCGUGCCUUUUGUAGAAUGAACCGGCGAGUUACGAUUGCAUGCGAGGUUAAGUUGAAGAGACGGAGCCGCAGCGAAAGCGAGUCUGAAUAGGGCGUUUGAGUAUGUAGUCGUAGACCCGAAACCAUGUGAUCUACCCAUGUCCAGGUUGAAGGUGCGGUAAAACGCACUGGAGGACCGAACCCACGUACGUUGAAAAGUGCGGGGAUGAGGUGUGGGUAGCGGAGAAAUUCCAAACGAACUUGGAGAUAGCUGGUUCUCUCCGAAAUAGCUUUAGGGCUAGCCUCGGAAUUGAGAAUGAUGGAGGUAGAGCACUGUUUGGACUAGGGGCCCAUCUCGGGUUACCGAAUUCAGAUAAACUCCGAAUGCCAUUCAUUCAUAUCCGGGAGUCAGACUGUGAGUGAUAAGAUCCAUAGUCGAAAGGGAAACAGCCCAGACCACCAGCUAAGGUCCCAAAAUAUAUGUUAAGUGGAAAAGGAUGUGGGGUUGCACAGACAACUAGGAUGUUGGCUUAGAAG
rnacentral:rRNA from 1 species